rnacentral:rRNA from 1 species
UCUUUCGGUUUGCGGGCCGUGUUUGCUGUUUUUGUAUUAAUGGUGUGUCCUUUGGUUUUGGGGAAAAUAAAGUGUUUGGUCUGGGUUAUACAUGCUAGUGGAGGCGAACAGGUGAGGAGGAAAUAAAAAAGAUUUUUUUUUAUUUUUUGUAUUAGGAAAAGAGGCGUUUUUUUCUUUUUUCCGAAGACGCAUGGUUUAACCACAUUUUCACUGAGACAAGGGAAGACUUAGCAGCAGUAAAGAAUUUUGUGCAAUAUACGAAAGUGGGACAUGGGCAGAACGAAGGAACCUGUCAAAUUAAGUGCCAGCAGACGCGGUGAAACUUAAAGGUUUGUUUUUUUUUUUAAGCAAAAAGUGUGUGAAAGGAAAGAGUUUUAAGUAAAUAGAAUUUUUUUAGUAAUGGUUAAAUGUUAAAAGAAAAAAAAAGAAUUUUCAAUGUGAAGACGAUUUAUUUUGUUCUUAGACACGAAGGCUAUGGUAAUAAACAGGAUUAGAUACCCUGGUAGUCUGUGCAGUAAACAGAAAUCGCUUGAGUAGUACGGUCGCAAGACUAAAAUUCAAAAAACUUGGCUGUUCAUUGUUAAUUAGAGGAGCGUGUUGCUUAAUUCGAUAAUCCGCGAGUUACCUUACCUAAACUGGAGCUUUUACAGGUGUUGCAUGGCCGUCGUCAAUUUAUGUUUGAGACAAAUAGGUUUAACCCUACAAAGGUUGAAGUCAGGUCUUAUUGCCUUUAUGUUUAGGGGUUAAAUGCGCUACAUUUUUUUAUUCAAAUUAAAAUAAAAGUUCGGGUGGGUCUUUGAAAAAAGAACCUCAAGUUGAAUUUAAUAGUAAUUGAAAAGUAGAGCGUUUCAAUGAAUUAAAGGCAAUGUUAGUACAAAUUGCCCGUCGCCUCUGCUAAGGUGUUCAAAGCAGAGUAAGUCGUAACAUAGUAAGGGUGAGGGAACUGGCUCUUCGGAUGCAAAAGGAUUUUUCUUUUAAAAAGAUAGUUUGACGCAUAACUAUUUUAGAAUCACUAAAAACAUAG